rnacentral:sRNA from 1 species
UUUUCUUCUUCUUCGGG